rnacentral:sRNA from 1 species
CCCAAAGCUCCAACUGUUGACGGAAGAGGCCGAGAAAAUAGAUUCAAAUCCUCACGGACGUAAACUUCUCAGAGAAAAAAUAAUGACAAGUGACUGUCUCUCUCAUAAAACGGGCCUUGCUUUUGGAAAUCUGGGAUUGCAGUUACGUUACCUGAUCAAUGCUUUGUUUACUUCCUAACGCACUCGUGUGCACUGCUGUAUUCACAAUGACUAGAUAUUCAAUGUCUUACCUGUUAUAUGUACAUUUGGGGCUUGGCUGACAGCCUCUGCUGGGGUGUGUGGAUGUAACAUAACAAAGGGACAGCCAUUCAUUCAUGUGUGUUGGGGACUUUCUUAAAUUAUUAUCUUUUUGAAGGAUUUAUUGUUCAAGCUCUACUACCCAUUGUUUAAAGUGUAUUCAUUCUUUACAUUUUAGCAUAUGAUUUUAUUGGUUUUUUUUUUA